rnacentral:rRNA from 1 species
AGCGAACGCCGGCGGCAGGCCUAACACAUGCAAGUCGAACGAAGUCUACGGACUUAGUGGCGGACGGGUGAGUAACACGUGGGAACGUGCCUUUAGGUUCGGAAUAACUCAGGGAAACUUGUGCUAAUACCGAAUGUGCCCUUCGGGGGAAAGAUUUAUCGCCUUUAGAGCGGCCCGCGUCUGACUAGCUAGUUGGUGAGGUAAAGGCUCACCAAGGCGACGAUCAGUAGCUGGUCUGAGAGGAUGAUCAGCCACAUUGGGACUGAGACACGGCCCAAACUCCUACGGGAGGCAGCAGUGGGGAAUCUUGCGCAAUGGGCGAAAGCCUGACGCAGCCAUGCCGCGUGAAUGAUGAAGGCCUUAGGGUUGUAAAGCUCUUUCACCGGAGAAGAUAAUGACGGUAUCCGGAGAAGAAGCCCCGGCUAACUUCGUGCCAGCCGCCGCCGUAAUAC